rnacentral:rRNA from 1 species
CCUACGGGAGGCAGCAGUGGGGAAUAUUGCACAAUGGGCGAAAGCCUGAUGCAGCGACGCCGCGUGAGGGAUGACGGCCUUCGGGUUGUAAACCUCUUUCAGCAGGGAAGAAGCGAAAGUGACGGUACCUGCAGAAGAAGCACCGGCUAACUACGUGCCAGCAGCCGCGGUAAUACGUAGGGUGCGAGCGUUGUCCGGAAUUAUUGGGCGUAAAGAGCUUGUAGGCGGUUUGUCGCGUCUGCUGUGAAAAUCCGGGGCUCAACCCCGGACUUGCAGUGGGUACGGGCAGACUAGAGUGUGGUAGGGGAGACUGGAAUUCCUGGUGUAGCGGUGAAAUGCGCAGAUAUCAGGAGGAACACCGAUGGCGAAGGCAGGUCUCUGGGCCACUACUGACGCUGAGAAGCGAAAGCAUGGGGAGCGAACAGGAUUAGAUACCCUGGUAGUCCAUGCCGUAAACGUUGGGAACUAGGUGUGGGUCUCAUUCCACGAGAUCCGUGCCGCAGCUAACGCAUUAAGUUCCCCGCUGGGGAGUACGGCCGCAAGGCUAAAACGUCAAAGGAAUUGACGG